rnacentral:misc_RNA from 1 species
GCAACUUGGUGAUCUUGGGUGUACUGGAUGAGCUUCCGAUGGUGGAUAUGCUGUCAUAGGCGGUGGAUGUAUAAAAUCAAACACUUAAAAGAUCCCAUCAUAUUCUGAGUAAAAGGUCAACUUGUUAUAAUUUCCAGCAACAUGUAGAGAGCAUGUCGUGAUAUUUGCGAAAAUGUAGGUUUGUAGAGAAAGCAAGUCUUUAAGAGUGAAGUGCAAGUUGAGCAGGGUUUUGAAUGGUUUGUUUGCAGUCAAUGGAAGGGCACUUCGCUUCUGGGACGGGUUUUACUGGAAG